rnacentral:lncRNA from 1 species
UAGGAAGCAUUUAUGGGGAGGAGACAAGCAGGUUGUAAUCGCAGGCUUUUCAGAGACAUGUCCAGUCUCUCUGUGAGUUUCUUUGGAUCUCAUCUCUGGCAUUUUCCUGCUAAAAUCCAACCUUUCUACCCUUGCCUGACUGACUCUACUCUAAGGCUUUUGAUCUAGAAGAAUAGGUAUCUGAGGAUAGAGCAGUGAACCAAAGAGACAAAAGUCCCUGCCUCUAUGGAGCUACAUUCCAGUUGACUGCUAUAAUGAUGGCUCUCCAGAAUUGUUGUGGUCUGCUUUCAAGUUCUGAGCCUAGCUGCAUGCCAGAAUCACACCAUCUGAGGCUUAAUGAAUCAGCAUCUCCAAGCAUUUUGUAGAUUGGCAAAAGUGCCGCUAUCAAAGACAGGUAGAAUGACUCCUGUCUCUAGCUGCUUUCCUGGCACUUGAGCUAUGCAGUGAUAAUACAAGUUGGGAGGACUCAACAGAAGCCAGAUUUGGAAUCCAGUCACUCUUCACCAACUCCAGGGCUCCCCUCUUCUCAUCCUGGAUUGUGAGAGGCUUCUGGUUGGUUCCCCUCCAUGAUUCUCCCGAACCUGAGCCAUACACUAUUCUCACACAGCAAGCAGAUUGAUGUCAAAAAACUAAAUAAAGGGUGGCUUCCUGGAAGAAUGAUACUGGAGUUGAAUUUGAGAUGUUCCUUCUCUGUACCCCACAACACCCUGCACAGCUUCCCUCAUGCAUCGCUCCAUCAGUGUCUGCAUGAGUCAUGUCUUCCUUGGUGACCCUGCUUCCUGCAAACCCUGCAGCAGGUUGACAUUCUGGGACUGCUGCUCCUGGUGGUAAGCAUUGUUAAGCUUUCUGCUCUCCACCGUGCAUUGGGACUCCUCACCCGGAGGUGGUAACAGGAGUCACUUGUUUGACAGUGACCUUCGGCUCACAAAGUUGUUCAAAUGACCCUCUACAGUAGCAGAGAAAAUUGGACCCUCAGAUGGAUAGACAAUGAACUAAAUACUUCACACAGGUUAGUUGCCAUCCCUCUUCUACUUAGAAUGAAAUUUAAAUUCCUUCCCAGAGUUUGAAAACCCAUACAUAUCUGGCCCCUGACAUCUCUUUAACCCUCUCUACUUCUCUUUCCCUCAUUCAUUCAUCCAUCCGUUCACCAAUUUAUCAAAUAUUUUGGAGUGCCUUCUGUGUUCUGGGCACUCUCCUAGGUACAUGGAGUAUAACAAAAUAAUGAUUAUUGUGCUAUGAAGCUUAAACUUCACUGUGGGGGCAAGACAGACAAUAGUCAUUAUACACCUAAGUAAUUGAAUUUUAUAGUUUGUUAGAUGCUGACUGCUAUGGGAAAAAAAAUUAAGCAGAGUAAGAGAGACUGAGCUUGACGGGGGUUGUUAUUUAAGAUAGGAUGGUGGAAGUAAGUUGCAUGGAGAAGGGGACUUUUGUGCAAAGUCUUGAAGGAAGUAAAGAGUGAGCCAUGGGGAGCUCAGGGGAAGGCAGCAGCAAGCCUGAGAUACUAAGGAGGAGGACAGAGGCCACUGUGGCCAGAGCAGAGUGAGAAAGGGGCAAGGUGGUAGGAGAAGAAAUCCAAGAGGCCAUGGGGCCAGAUGGCAUGGGGCUGUAUGUGCUCCCAUAGGGAUUUUGGCUCUUACCCUGUGGAAGGUAGGGAGUCUAUACAGUGUUUUGGUAAGGGGAA